UUGCCAGACUCCUACGGGAGGCAGCAGUGAGGAAUAUUGGUCAAUGGCCGAGAGGCUGAACCAGCCAAGUCGCGUGAGGGAAGACGGCCCUACGGGUUGUAAACCUCUUUUGUCGGGGAGCAAAGCGAGUCACGUGUGACUCAUUGAGAGUACCCGAAGAAAAAGCAUCGGCUAACUCCGUGCCAGCAGCCGCGGUAAUACGGAGGAUUCAAGCGUUAUCCGGAUUUAUUGGGUUUAAAGGGUGCGUAGGCGGUCGGAUAAGUUAGAGGUGAAAUCCCGAGGCUCAACUUCGGAAUUGCCUCUGAUACUGUUCGGCUAGAGAGUAGUUGCGGUAGGCGGAAUGUAUGGUGUAGCGGUGAAAUGAUUAGAGAUCAUACAGAACACCGAUUGCGAAGGCAGCUUACCAAGCUACUUCUGACGUUGAGGCACGAAAGCGUGGGGAGCAAACAGGAUUAGAUACCCGCGUAC
rnacentral:rRNA from 1 species